UACAGAGGGGGCAAGCGUUGUUCGGAAUUACUGGGCGUAAAGGGCGCGUAGGCGGCCUGUUAAGUCGAACGUGAAAUCCCCGGGCUCAACCCGGGAACUGCGUCCGAAACUGGCAGGCUUGAAUCCGGGAGAGGGAUGUGGAAUUCCAGGUGUAGCGGUGAAAUGCGUAGAUAUCGGGAGGAACACCAGAGGCGAAGGCGGGUCACUGGGCGUGAUGACUGACGCUGAUGCGCGAAAGCCAGGGGAGCAAACGGG
rnacentral:rRNA from 1 species